ACGCGAAAGUCCCGCAAGGGAUAAGUAGAGUGGCAAACGGGUGAGUAACACGUGGGUGACCUGCCUUCGAGCGGGGGAUAACGUCCCGAAAGGGACGCUAAUACCGCAUAACAUCCUGCCUUUGAAGAGGCGGUGAUCAAAGCUGGGGAUCGCAAGACCUAGCACUCGAAGAGGGGCCCGCGUCCGAUUAGCUAGUUGGUGGGGUAAUGGCCCACCAAGGCAACGAUCGGUAGCCGGCCUGAGAGGGCGGACGGCCACACUGGGACUGAGACACGGCCCAGACUCCUACGGGAGGCAGCAGUGGGGAAUUGUUCGCAAUGGGCGCAAGCCUGACGACGCAACGCCGCGUGGAGGAUGAAGAUCUUCGGGUCGUAAACUCCUUUCGAUCGAGACGAAUUCCUCCGGGGUGAACAAUCCUGGAGGUUGACGGUACCGAGAGAAGAAGCCCCGGCUAACUCCGUGCCAGCAGCCGCGGUAAUACGGGGGGGGCAAGCGUUG
rnacentral:rRNA from 1 species